rnacentral:lncRNA from 1 species
CGGCCGCCAGCGGGCACCAGAGAGCUUCGGCCACCACGACCAGUGCCGCCCCAGCAAGGAUCCCUUUGGGGAGACACUUAUGAAGGCACCAAAUGAAAGAAGACAGCUAUUUCAUCACUGUCAGCUGGGAGGCUGUGGCACAGGGCAGCUGCUGACAAGUUCACAUGGAGAUGGUUUUCAACAUUUAUUUUCUUGUUUAUGUGAUUGUGAGUGUGUGUGCACAUGUGUAUGUGUCUGAAGAGGCUGAAGGAGGACACUGGAUGCCCCGGGGCUGGUGUCACAGGCAUUUGUGAGCACCUGACAGGAGUGUUUGGCACUGAACAAUGCAAGAGCAGCCAGAGGUUGUAACCCCUGACCCAUCUUCCUAGUCCUCUUACAUCUG